GACGAACUGUCCUAACGUUGUUCGGAAUCACUGGGCUUAAAGGGCGCGUAGGCGGUCGAUCAAGUCAGGGGUGAAAUCCCGCAGCUUAACUGCGGAAGUGCCUUUGAUACUGGUCGUCUGGAGGGAGGUAGGGGUGUGUGGAACUCACAGUGGAGCGGUGAAAUGCGUUGAUAUUGUGAGGAACGCCGGAGGCGAAAGCGACGCACUGGACCUCUUCUGACGCUGAGGCGCGAAAGCUAGGGGAGCAAACGGG
rnacentral:rRNA from 1 species